UACGUAGGUGGCAAGCGUUGUCCGGAUUUAUUGGGCCUAAAGCAUCCGUAGCCGGUUCUACAAGUCUUCCGUUAAAUCCACCUGCUUAACAGAUGGGCUGCGGAGGAUACUAUGGAGCUAGGAGGCGGGAGAGGCAAGCGGUACUUAGUGGGUAGGGGUAAAAUCCGUUGAUCCAUUGAAGACCACCAGUGGCGAGGGCGGCUUGCCAGAACGCACUCGACGGUGAGGGAUGAAAGCUGGGGGAGCAAACCGG
rnacentral:rRNA from 1 species